rnacentral:tRNA from 1 species
GUGGGUAUAGCUCAGUUGGUUAGAGCGUCAGAUUGUGGUCCUGAAGGUCGUGGGUUCGAUCCCCAUUACCCACCCCA